UCGUUUUGGACAAUCGGUCGAGACAUUUGACUGAACUAGUUUCAUUUUUUUUAAAUAAAAAGUAAAUAUUUUUUCCCCUUAAGUAUAUUUCAAAACAACCUUUCCACCUUAAACUGAUGGUAAACAAACAAAUGCUAGCUCGUGUAGACAGGAAGCUAAAAGAGGGACGGACUCUUCAAGAGAUGAAAAGAAAAACGAAUCAACAGGAUGAAUGAAUCAAAAAGUGAGAAGAUGAAACAGGGAGAGAAAAAAACAGAACAAUGAGGCAGACAGGAAGCCCACAUCUGCUCCUCCGUCGUUUCAUGCUAAAAGUGCAUUGCAUCUAAUAAUGGCCCUCAAAAGGACACUCCAGAGCCCCAAUUAUCACGGGUUGCCUGGCAACAAAGAGAAACCGCCACCGGACGAUGGCGAGUACAAACAGUUCCAUUCUGACUGUUACAGAGUGCAGAGGUGUGCCUGCUCCUGUUGAUUCACCGACUGCUGGGACACAAUAAGAUGAUCACAACGACAGAUGUGAGCGAGCAGGAGCUGAUGAUGAUGAUGAUGAUGAUGAUGAUGAUGAUGAGCAAGACAAUCAGAUCAAACACAACAAGCACCUCCACCCACUCCAGCAGACCUCCACGCUGAACGGAAACACCAGCCAGGGGAAAAACUGACUAUUUCUGAGCUUGUAAUGCAGACAUCACGGAGGAGCUGGACUGAGUCGUGAAAAUCCACCUUCAUCUCAGAGGAAACCACCUCUGGCAAAGGAGCCUCACAGGAGCAGGCUGAACGCUCUGCAGUUACAGCCGCACACAGCUUUGAAAGAAGAAUGUUUUCUUUUUUAGUGCCGUGACCAUGAAAUGAAAGAAGAAACAGGCGUGUCGCUCUACCUGAGCGUUCUGCACCUGGUGGAACUUUAGGAACAUCGACUAGAACAAACUGAAGUGAAGAUGGUACAGCAUGUGAACAGGAGCAGCUGGUCCAUCAUCUGAAUACUGUUACAUAAAUUAAAAUAAAAUUCACCUGCUGAGUCACGAA